rnacentral:rRNA from 1 species
AACAAACGCUGGCGGCGUGUCUUAAGCAUGCAAGUCGAGCGGCAAGGGCAGCAAUGCCCCUAGAGCGGCGGACUGGUGAGUAACGCGUGGGUGAUCUACCUAGGGCAUGGGGAUAGCCACUAGAAAUAGUGGGUAAUACCGAAUACGUUCGCAUGGAUGCGUCCAUGCGAGGAAAGGUGCUACGGCACCGGCCUAUGAUGAGCUUGCGUCUGAUUAGCUAGUUGGUGAGGUAAAGGCCCACCAAGGCGAUGAUCGGUAGCCGGCCUGAGAGGGUGUACGGCCACACUGGGACUGAGAUACGGCUCAGACUCCUACGGGAGGCAGCAGCUAAGAAUAUUCCGCAAUGGACGAAAGUCUGACGGAGCGACGCCGCGUGGAUGAUGAAGGCCGAAAGGUUGUAAAGUCCUUUUGCUGGGGAAGAAUAAGCGUGGGAGGGAAUGCCCGCGUGAUGACAUGAACCGGCGAAUAAGCCCCGGCUAACUACG